GAAGGGGUUUUGUUGCUGUUUCCGGUGGUAUUAGUUAAGGGAUUGAUUGAUGCUGUGAAGAAUACAUUUCCUGAAUCUCACCAUAGGUUUUGUGUGAGACACAUUGAGGCCAAUUGACAGAAAAAGUGGAGAAGCGGACAAAUGAAGAAGUUGAUGUGAUGGUGUGCUUGGAGCACUUAUGAAGAAGAGUUCAAAGACCAACUACGAAAGUUGGGUGAAUUAUCUAAGGAGGAUAAUCAUUCUGCUGCCAAGGAUCUCUUACACUUUCCUCCUCAAGCUUAGUGUAGAGCAUAUUUAGACACUCGGUGUAAAAAUGUAAUAGUUGACAAUAAUUUCACCGAAUCGUUUAAUUCAUGAAUUCUUCAAGCUAGAAGCAUGCCAAUCAUCAAGAUCUUUGGAGGAAAUUAGGAUAAAGGUUAUGAAUUUGUUAGUUAAAAAUGAAGAUGAAAUCAGGUGAAUUCCUCACUAUUCAGUUAAAACUUCAUUUCUAUUUGAUUUUCUGUUUACCUUAAUCUAUUAUUUGAUUGUUUUUUAACAGGAAAUGGAGGAAUGACUUUAGUCCACAAGCUGUAAAGUUGUAUAAUGACUACAGGGCAAUUGCUCAUUAUUGCAAGGUUGAGUUUAAUGGUGACUUUGGCUAUGAAAUAUCUGAAGGUGAUGAUAGGCAUAUUGUUGAUCUUUCUCAAAAAAGAUGCAUAUGUAGAGUUUGGCAACUAUCAGGAAUCCCUUGCCCCCAUGCUAUCAAAGCUAUGUUGUAUGACAAGGGUGAAGCUGAGGAUGAUAUACACUGGUUCUACAGCAAGGAGGCAUAUUCCUUGACUUACAAGAACAAGUUACAACCUGUUAGAGGACAACAAUUCUGGAAAAUUACUGAAGCUCAAGCCAUGAAUCCACUCGACAUU